rnacentral:rRNA from 1 species
UACGUAGGGGGGCAAGCGUUGUCCGGAUUUAUUGGGCGUAAAGAGCGUGUAGGCGGCUUUACAGGUCCGUUGUGAAAACUCGAGGCUCAACCUCGAGACGCCGGUGGAAACCGUAAGGCUAGAGUCCGGAAGAGGAGAGUGGAAUUCCUGGUGUAGCGGUGAAAUGCGCAGAUAUCAGGAAGAACACCCGUGGCGGAAGGCGGCUCUCUGGGACGGUACUGACGCUGAGACGCGAAAGCGUGGGGAGCGAACAGG